UACGGAAGGCAGCAGUGGGGAAUAUUGCACAAUGGGCGCAAGCCUGAUGCAGCCAUGCCGCGUGUAUGAAGAAGGCCUUCGGGUUGUAAAGUACUUUCAGUCGUGAGGAAGGUGUUAAGGUUAAUAACCUUAGCAAUUGACGUUAGCGACAGAAGAAGCACCGGCUAACUCCGUGCCAGCAGCCGCGGUAAUACGGAGGGUGCGAGCGUUAAUCGGAAUUACUGGGCGUAAAGGGCACGCAGGCGGUUAAUUAAGUUGGAUGUGAAAUCCCCGGGCUUAACCUGGGAAUGGCAUUCAAGACUGGUUAGCUAGAGUCUUGUAGAGGGGGUAGAAUUCCAUGUGUAGCGGUGAAAUGCGUAGAGAUGUGGAGGAAUACCGGUGGCGAAGGCGGCCCCUGGACAAAGACUGACGCUCAUGUGCGAAAGCGUGGGGAGCAAACAGGGAUUAGAACC
rnacentral:rRNA from 1 species